rnacentral:misc_RNA from 1 species
GUGGGGAUCAAUUAGUAGUCCAUUGUCAAGUACCCGAUGAAUGUCAACAGGACCCCCAUUUUUUGUAGCAACAAUAGGUAAACCAUGAGCUGCAGCCUCAAUCAAUGUAAGCCCAAAGGGCUCAAUGAAAGCAGGAUUGAUGAAAACACCCUUUGUUUUUGCUGCAAGACGAUAAAUGUCAGGAACAUCAGACUGCUUGUGGUGUUUAGGAUAUGCUACUUGGCCAUACAGAUCAUAUUUAUCAAUGAGCUUAAUGAUGGAAAGAAGAUAACUUGCAUUU